rnacentral:rRNA from 1 species
UACGUAGGGCGCAAGCGUUGUCCGGAAUUAUUGGGCGUAAAGAGCUCGUAGGCGGCUUGUCACGUCGGGUGUGAAAGCUCGGGGCUUAACCCCGGGUCUGCAUCCGAUACGGGCAGGCUAGAGUGUGGUAGGGGAGAUCGGAAUUCCUGGUGUAGCGGUGAAAUGCGCAGAUAUCAGGAGGAACACCGGUGGCGAAGGCGGAUCUCUGGGCCAUUACUGACGCUGAGGAGCGAAAGCGUGGGGAGCGAACAGG